UACGAAGGUCCCAAGCGUUAUCCGGAUUUAUUGGGUUUAAAGGGUGCGUAGGCGGGCUAUUAAGUCAGUGGUGAAAGCCCCAAGCUUAACUUGGGAACUGCCAUUGAUACUGAUGGUCUUGAGUACAUUUGAGGUGGGCGGAAUGUGUCAUGUAGCGGUGAAAUGCUUAGAUAUGACACAGAACACCGAUUGCGAAGGCAGCUCACUAAACUGUGACUGACGCUGAGGCACGAAAGCGUGGGGAGCAAACAGG
rnacentral:rRNA from 1 species